AUAUGAAACACCUGGGGAUCUUGUUAAACUAUAGAUUCUGAUUCAGGAAGUCAACAGUGGGCCUAAGGGUCUGCAUUCCUAACAACCCACCAGAUGAUGGCGAU
rnacentral:pre_miRNA from 1 species